rnacentral:tRNA from 1 species
GCCUGAGUGGCUCAGUUUGUUAAGCGUCUGACUUUGGCUCAGGUCAUGAUCUCACGGUUCGUGGGUUCGAGCCCUGCGUCGGGCU